rnacentral:lncRNA from 1 species
UCUCACGUUUUCUAGCGAGUGCGACUUCCAACAUCUUCGGGUUAAGGUCGUCGGUAGGCCGAUUAUACCACUCAAAGUCCUUCUCGUACAUUGUUUGUCGCAACGCCUCUCGUUGCUCAUCCGCCAAGGUCAAAUAUUUUUCUUCUCGUACACGUUUAAUUUCCAUUAUCUCUUUUUUCAUGGCCUUGUACUCUUCGAAUUUGCGUGUUAUAUCUCUUGGAUCUUCUUGCGGAUUAAACGGGACACUACUACCACCCGAACCACGUUUAUCUUGAGGCUUCGACUUUGAACCGGACCCUACCAUUUUCUUCUUGCCUUCACCCUUCUUUGAGCCUUUCAUAUUUUUCAAAGUGUAGAAUAGAUUGAGAGAGUAUAGAGAGAAAGGUGUAUUUUUUUAAAAUGUGUGAGUGAUAUGUAUAUAGGGUGAAAAAAAAUUUAAAAAACAAUUUUUUUUUUUUACAUCAAACGGUAAUAUUACCGUUAUAGGGGUAAUAAAUAUGGCAGCCCUCUUCUUUCUCGCUUCGGUAAUCCAUCACCGCCUUUAAUCUUUUGCCGCGACCUAUGUUGGUCGGCGGCGGUGUUUGCCGCGCGGCAAACGUCUUUGCCGCUUGGUUGCCGCACCCACACCGUAUCC